ACUUUCUGCAUGAGGACAAGGACCUGGUCUGUUAGAGCAGGAGUCCUCAACCCCCAGGCCACAGACUGGUACCAGUCUGCAGCCUCUUAGGAACUGGGCCAUACAGCAGGAGCACAUGGGGAAGUAUCAACGUCAUCGUCAUCAUCAUCAUCAUCUUUCUACAGAGGAAACUGAGGCCCAGAGACGGUGAACUUCCUGCCCAAGCCUCAGACUUGCCCUAACCCUGGGGUCACAGUGGACCUCUUCCAGCCUCUUGAAUGCUAAGUCAGGAGGGGGAAGGGUGGGAGAGGGGAGGAGGAGGGGGAGAAGGAGGGGUGGGGGACUCCAUUCAAAUCCCGUCUUCCUCCUGUCGCAUACCUGCCAGAGAUAGACGAAGCAGACCACGAUCCAGACGAGAGGCAGCCACAGCCCGUUGAGGUAGAGGACGCUCUCGGUCAGCCGCUGCACGUCCACGGACACCAGGUUGACCACAUCACCCACCGCACUGGCCUUUCUGGAGCCACUGGACAGAGCCAGGACCUGGCGGGUGGGCAGAAGGAGAGAAGUAAAGUGGGGAGGCCGGGGCAGAGGGAUGCCCCAGGUGGCUUCUCCACCCAGUGAGCCCCACUUCACGCGUCUGCGAGGUGGAAACCGAGGCAGAGAGAAGUUGAGCAACUUGCCCAAAGUCACAGCCCUUGUAAGCGCCUACACAAGGAAUGGAAUCCAGGGUGACGAAGGCAUGACAAGGCCCUCCCUUUGUGACUGCGUGAGGGAGUGAAGAAGUGAUCCAGGAAUGACUGGACAUAGAAAUUCUCCACUUAGCAAGUCUUUGAAGAGUGCCCACUGUGUGACUCACACUGAGCUGGGAACUGAAAAUACAGCUGUGAACAACAGAGAUGAGGCUUGCUCUCCCGGGACUGGAGUUUGAGGUGGGGAACAAGGCUCUAUAAUAAAGAUUUAUAUAACUGGCUGGGCACAGUGGCUCACACCUGUAAUCCCAGCACUUUGGGAGGCUGAGGCGGAUGGAUUGCUUGAGGCCGGGAGUUCGAGAUCAGCCUGGCCAAUAUGGCAAAACCCCAUCUCUAGUAAAAAUACAAAAAUUAACUGGGCAUGCUGGUGGGCGCCUGUAAUCCCAGCUACUUGGGAGGGUGAGGCAGGACAAUUGCUUGAACCCAGGAGGCAGAGGUUGCAGUGAGCCAAGAUUGCACCACUGCACUACAGCCUGGGUGACAGAGUGAGACUCUGUCUCAAAAAAAUAAGACAAAACAAAAACAUUUCUAUAACUCAUGCUUUAAUGGCAGUUAUGAUGAGUAACAUACAAAAGUAGCCCAGGCUGAGCGCGUUGGCUCAUGUCUGUAAUCCCAGCACUUUGGGAGGCUGAGGUGGGUGGAUCACCUGAGGUCAGGAGUUCGAUACCAGCUUGGCCAACAUGGUGAAACCCUGUCUACUAAAAAUACAAAAUUAGCCGGGCAUGGUGGCGCACACCUGUAAUCCCAGCUACUCAGGAAGCUGAGACAGGAGAAUCACUUGAACCCAGGGGGCGGAGGUUGUAGUGAGCCGAGACUGUGCCACUGCACUCCAGCCUGGGCAACAAGAGGGAAACUCUGUCAGAAAAAAAAAAAAAAAAAGCCCAGAGGUUAGAGAGGGACGGAUCUGAUCUCAUCAGGAGAUCAAAGAAGGCCUCUGGCGGGUGGUGGGGAAUAGGAAGAUCAAUGCCGUGCUCACCAGGCUGCCUUCCUCUUAGGCUCAAGGAAAUGUGGACUCUCAAGACAGGAUAGGGCACACCCAGCUCUGGCAUGCUCAGGGGAACAGCAGCCCUGGGACGCAGCACUCUGGCAGGACAGCA
ensembl:lincRNA